UUUUUGUACAUUGCUCUUGAUCCAACGGCACUAGCAAACUGUGACACUUCUCCUAUAAAAGCAGUCCUAAGCCCUCACAAAUAAUCACAACACACCAGCUUUCUCAAUCCAUAUUUCUUCACUAUGAGUCGUUUUUCUUACUUAUCGUUGUUUCCCUGCUUCCUUCUUUUUGCCCAUUUCUUCACCUUAAGCAACGCAGCUACUUUCGAGAUCAGAAACCAAUGCUCUUACACUGUCUGGGCCGCGGCUGUUCCCGGUGGUGGCCGAAGACUUGACCCAGGCCAGUCAUGGACCAUCACCGCGAAUGCCGGAACAACACAGGCCCGUAUUUGGGGACGGACCAAGUGCAAUUUUGAUGGGGCCGGACGAGGGACGUGCGAGACUGGUGAUUGCAACGGGCUCUUGCAAUGCCAAGCCUUCGGGCAACCCCCUAACACACUGGCUGAAUAUGCAUUGAACCAAUUCCAGACUUGGAUUUCUUCGACAUAUCUCUUGUUGAUGGAUUUAAUGUUCCUAUGGACUUCAGUCCAGUAUCAGGCAACUGCGUGGAAUUAGGUGCGCAGCUGAUAUCAAUGGACAGUGCCCGAAUCAGCUCAGGGCCAGCGGAGGCUGCAACAAUCCUUGCACUGUCUUCAAGACAGAUCAAUACUGUUGCAAUUCUGGCAACUGUGGCCCAACAGAUUACUCAGGUUUUUCAAGCAGAGGUGCCCUGACGCUUAUAGUUAUCCUAAAGAUGACCAAACAAGCACCUUCACCUGUCCCGGUGGAACUAAUUACAGGGUUGUAUUCUGCCCUUGAAGCAGUUUUAAGCCAGGAAUAAUGGUGUAAAAUGAGAAUAAGGACCAUUGCUCGAUUCACUUCUGACGGUGUGAAUUGCUGCAAGGUCACAUGCUUUAUUAUAAUGAAAAUCUACUACAAUAUUAACAGUGGCAAGACCCUUUAUUUGCUCUAGCUGUUAAAUACCCAGACAAAGUGUGUUCAUGCUUUCGGAGCAUAUCCAGCCCAGAAGCACUUUCUUCAUUUCUAACCAUGGAAACUACAAAAUACAACUAUGCUGCAAGAAAUUACCUUAAAUAAAACGAUUUAAGUACUGCUCAUGUUUGUUAGCUUCUUCCAACACGGUAAUCCAUUUUCCUUUUAUAUUAAUCAUCUGUCUUUUGUUGCCAAAACCAUUCUUUCCUUUUUUGUUUAAUCUUUGUUAAAAUCUGUUGCUUCCAAGCACUUAACAAGAUCAGUAAGGCAUGCAAUAACACAGGUCAACAGAAAAUACUGAAGGGGAGGUAAAUUAAAAUUGUAAUAUAUAAAUACAUAACUGAUACGGAGGUGGAUCAAUAGAAAAUUUCUCCCCUUUCAUUUUCUUUUUUGGAAAAUUCGUAGUCGUGACCUUGUUCGUGACUAAACUGGGAAAGUCACCUCCAUCUUCUAGCAGAAGCACCACCUUACAACUAAAAUUUACAUGUUCUUCAUCUCCUGGUUGAAGCAGUAUGCAGUUGCUUGACUCACCGAAUCAUCCGAAAGCACUGCGCCUACUGAAAAGUUAUCACAUGAGUGGAAAUACCUGCAAAUAUGAUCAGGUUGUGGUAAAAAAUCACCAUAACAGCAAACUACAAGGAAUAACCAAAUCAAAUGAACAUAAAGCACUGCAGCUUCUAAUUAAUCAUAGCAAUCAUAAGUGAUAUCAUACCAUCGUUAAAAUCCCAUCUGACAGGCCUCUUCAUAUAAACAUCCUCAUAGUACCAUAUAGUGUCCAUCUUCUCCCACACAUUGCAUAGAUACCCAUCAGUGGCAGCAGUCCCUAUAUAUUGGGCUCCAUCAAGAAAAUCAGGCCUAGGAAUACCCACAUCAUUAACCAUAAUCCGACAGCUAUGAGGCUCGCUUAAAGUGUAAUAGAAGGUUGUCCCAUUAUUCCACUCCGUGUCGUACAACAAAACAGAUAGUUGUUUCUGUAUUAUAUUCACAUUGCGGCCUCUAGGCCAAUCAUACCAUGGUGAUUUGGAGGCCUGUUGAGCUCAAGUUUAUAAACAAAAGUGCAUGGAAUUGUUCAGGCCAUGGAGCAGGAAUUGGGGUUGAUGAGUACUCUGGCUCAGGCCGUUGAAGUGAAGGGUCUAUGAGUUGGAGGACUCUGGCUCAUCUAUAUAUAUAUAAACUAAAAUAUUCUAAACUAAAAUAUUUGAUUUAUAUUUAUUUUAAAAAAGGGGGGGAUGAAUAAUAAAUAUUAAAAAUAAUAGAAAUUAAUGGAGUAAAAAUUAUUAUCUAAGGAGGUUAAUGUUGGGUAAGGAUGAAAUUGAAUAAGUCAAACUUUUGAGCCAAAUGCUUUUAAAACAAAACAAGGAAGUCCUUAAAUGAAAAGGAGGAAAAACUUGUAAAUAUAUAAACAAGUGGGGAGUGAGAAAUUAGCCAUGUUGGCCGGCCAUGUUAGGGCUUGAGAGGGAGAAGAAAUUGAGUGAAAAUUUAUCAAAGUUUAUCCAAAACAAUUCACCAAAAAAAAAAGAAGUUGAUAGAACUAGUGAACAAAGUAUUUUAGGAAGGGUUUGAAUAAGAAAAUCUCAAAAGAGGAAAUAAGGAAUUUUUCCUUAAAGGGGGUGGUAUUGAGAUAAAUAAGGGGGGAAGAAAGAAAUUUUUGUGGUGAUUUCAAGCUUCUUAUUUCUUAUUUUUUUGAGUUAGAAGGUAACAAAUCCUUUCCACUCAAUUAAAUUGAUGUAUUUAGUAUAUUAAGAUUUCAUUUAAUUGUAUUAGUGUAUAGUUAUGGUAUGAGUUGUGGUUUGUCGCACCCGACACCGCGACAACCCUAAAAAUAAUCCUUGAUUAUGGAAAAAGAACAAAUUUUUGGCAUUUUGUUCUUUUAGGAAAAAUGAUCUUGUUUAAGGAGUCCCCACCUUGUUUUAUGGUCACUAGGAACCCUAACUGGUCAACAUAGAUUCUAUGGCUCGGGAUUGGUUACGUAAAAGGAAAAAUAUUAUCACCCCUUAAACGUUCUGCUUGAGGCAGACUGCAUUGCUGGUUUUGUCUUAAAUUGCUAAAUGUUUAUUAGUUUAUGCUAUGAUAAUUUGAGUAUAAUAUUCCUGACUCUGGCGCCAGUGAAUAUUCACAUAAAAAAAAUAUUUUUUUUAAGCAUGGAUAUAUUUUUUUUCUAGCUAAAUAAAAUAAAAUACAAUGAAUAAAAAUAAUAUAAAUUUAAACCGAUAUUUUUAUUCUUGACUUUGGCGUUAGUGAAUAAACCAUUAAUUUUUUUUUUUGCAUACAUAUUUUUAUUUAUUUAUUUUUUUACCUUUUUUCUACUUUUUUAUUCUUUAUUUUUUUAUUGAUGUUGCAUGGUAAAAAAAAAAAGGUUUGGGUCACUGGUCCAAACGAGUGACCCGGCUGCCACUGUUGCAUGCAUGCGUGAAUCACUCACGCAUGCAUGCAACAGUAACAGGGUAAUUAAUUUGCCAAAAGAAAGAGAACUGAAGCACUUACCUGGCAAGGCUGAGGUGAAAGAAUUAAAUUACAACUGAAAUUGCUUGAGUAAAACUGUGUUUACUCAGCCAUAUAUAUAUACGUAAAGUCUGUUACAAUGAGAACUCUUUAUAAGAGUUGUAGUUACAGAGGGAUGUUGCAGAGACAGGAAGAAACAGAGAACUGGAACAUUGAAACUCUAGGUAACAAAUAUCAGUGUUUAUCGUCAAUCUUAGUAUUGUGAACUUUAUCCUUAUCAUUCCCCUGUAAACUGGCAGGGACAUCUGUCACAAAAGUUUAUCUCGGAGGUAACAGAACCGAUCAGUCGUGUGUCCCUUGGUAAAAAUAUAUGCAGGUUGCAGAGAGGUGGGAACAUGUUGAAGUAGUAUAUCUUUAUUUGCCACCUUUUCUCUGACAAAGUGGUAAUCCACUUCAAUGUGUUUCGAUCGGGCAUGGAAAAUAGGAUUGGAGGCAAGAGCUAAGGCACUUAUAUUGUCACACCAUACGACUGGAGCAGAAGCAAGAGAAACCUGCAACUCACGCAACAACAUUCUUAGCCAAUACACCUCAGCUGUAACUAGAGCUAAACACCUGUAUUCAGCUUCAGUACUGGAUUUUGACACUACAGGUUGUUUCUUAGCAGACCAAGAUAUGAGAUUGGACCCAACAAAAACACCAUAGCCACAGGUGGAGCGUCUGUCGUCAGGAUCACCGGCCCAAUCAGAGUCACAAUAGGCAUUGAUUGCAAAGGAACCAGGUCUGUAGAAGAGACCAUAAUCAAGUGUUUGUUUUAAGUAUCGUAGCACGCGUUUGGCUGCUGUCCAGUGAGCUGAAGUAGGCGCUUGCAUGUGAGAGUUACAUACUGUAAAGCCCCCACUGUUUGCCUAUAUUCAGAUGGGUCUGGAAUACUUUCUCCAUCAAACUUGGAUAGCUUAGACCCGGAGACACAAGGUGCACGGUAUGGGCGGAUACCAGUAAGCUGCACACGGUCCAGAAGAUCAAUUAUAUACCUUGUUUGUCGAAGAUGUAACCCUGAAGAAUUGCAUAUGGCCUUAAUUCCCAGAAAAUAUGUCAACUGACCAAGAUCCUUCAUAGCAAACUCAAGUUGUAAUUGAGAUAUAAGAGUGAUAAUAAAAUUCUGAUCAUUUGAGGUAACCAGAAUGUCAUCCACGUAAACUAAGAAGAAUGCAUGGACAUUGUCACGAUGACAGAUAAAUAGUGAGGGAUCAACUUGUGAACUUUGAAAAUCAAGAGCCAAAAGAGCAGUAGAUAGUCGAUUAAACCAGGCACGGGGAGCUUGUUUCAACCCGUAAAGAGAUUUAUGAAGCUUACAAACGAAUUGGGGGUGUGCAGGAUCAACAAAUCCUUUGGGUUGUGUCAUAUAAAUGUCCUCUUCUAACACACCAUGAAGGAAGGCGUUAGAGACAUCAAGUUGACGAAUAUCCCAAUUGAAAGAAACAACGAUGGCAAGAACCAUUAAGAGUUGUAGUUACAGAGGGAUUUGUUUACAGAGACGGGAAGAAACAAAGAACUAGGAACAUUGAAACUCUAGGUAACAGAUAUCAGUGUUUAUCGUCAAUCUUAGUAUUGUGAACUUUAUCCUUAUCAUGAGGGACACGACUGCUUCAAUAGAGGACUGAUGGAUGCUCACGGUGUGGAAGAGCUACUGGGGUGGCGCAGCUACGGGGUGAAGGCGAAGAUGAAGGUGGCGCUCGGUUAGCUCUGGCCGGACGAUGUCUCCUCCCUCCUGGUUUCUUGUCUAUCAGUCCUCUCUCUCCCGGUCUCUCCCUCUUUUCUCCUUCUUCUUCUGUUCCUGGAAUCUGCUGCUUUGCUAACGAAGAUGGCGGUGUGGAAGGGCUGUUCCACCAACAUUGCUUGCUCUCCUCUGUUUCAGCUUUCCUUGUUCUGUCGUCUUUUUCUUUUCUGUUUCGGUUUGUUCCCCUGCUCAUCGUUCUUUUUCUUCUCUUCUGCUCGUGGCCUCUUCUGUUUCUUUGAGAAGAAAACAGAGGAACACAAGUCUGCUCUUAUUUCUCCUCUAGUCCCCCUGUUUUUCUGCGUUAUUCCUCUGUUUCUUAUUCGUUUACAGUCACUUUUCUGUUCUAUCUAUUCUGCCUUUCCUCCCCGUUUCCCUGGUUUUUUUGUGUCUGGGUUUAGCUUCCUUAUCCCCCCCUGUUCGUGGCUCUCUUUUUUUCGUCCCUUCCCCCUUUCGGUUCUGCCCUUUUCUCCUCUCUCCCCCCAGUUCGUGGCUUUCUUCUUUAGCCUCCUCUGUUUCUUUGAGCAGAAACAGAGGAAUGAAAGUCCUUUUUAUUCUAGUCUCCCCAGUUUUUUUCUUCCCUCCUCCCUGGGUUUUUUCUGCCUCUUGCGCUCUCUCAUCAUCUCUGGCUUUAUAGCCAGAGAAUGCCAAGCAUCUCUACUAUUGAAACGGCUUCACAGCCAUUACUGCCAGAAACGACCCCUGAAGAAGAAAGCGAAGAAGGCGAAGAAGGCGAUGAACAGCUUCUAAAAACGGUGUUGUUUGUGUGAUGGGAAUGGCCAUUUUCAAUCUGGUCACUGAAUUCCAAAAUCAUGCAAUCAAGCCCCUGGAUAAAUUGUAAUUGGACCCCUGCAUUUCGGCCCCAUUUUCAGGCUUGUCCUUGGAUUUUAAUUUGUGCAAUUUGGACCCCAAUUAAACCCCAAACUUUUCUAUUUCUUCAAUUAAGUCCCUGAUUUCAUUAAUUUAAUUAAAUCCAAAGUCCAAUUAAGUCUAAAACUUAUCAAUUCUCCAAUUAAACCCUUGAUUGGAUGAAUUAAAUUAAUUUCAAGCUUAAUUAAGUAUAAUAAUUUAUCAAUUCUCCAAUUAAACCCUUAAUUGGAUUAAUUAAAUUAAUUCCAAGCUUAAUUAAGUCUCAAAACUUAUCAAUUCUCCGAUUAAACUCUUGGUUGGAUGAAUUAAAUUAAUUUCAAGCUUAAUUAAGUCUAAAAAUUUAUCAAUUCUCCAAUUAAACCCUUAAUUGGAUUAAUUAAAUUAAUUCCAAGCUCAAUCAGGUCUAAAAAUUUAUCAAUUCUCCAAUUAAACUCUUAAUUGGAUUAAUUAAAUUAAUUAAAUUAAUUCCAAGCUUAAUUAGAUUAAUUUCAAAGUUUAAUUAAACCCCAAAACUUCCAAUCAUUUUGCCCUUAACCCAAAAUUUAAUUCAUUCUUUAUUUUUUUCAUUUUACUUGUUUUCCAUCAUCAUCAUCAUCAUCAUCAUCAUCAUCAUCAUCAUCAUCAUCAUCAUCAUCAUUAUUAUUAUUUCAUCAUUUGUUUUUAUCCUUUUCAAUAAAUAAAAUAAUAAUAAUAAUUAAAAUAAAAUGGUCAAAAUUGGGUUAUGACAAGGUUGAUUGGGUUAAUUUAUGAAAUUGUGAUGAAUUAAUGUUUAAAUAAAUAAAAUAAUAGCAGGUAAUGUUUUAAUUUGUGAAAUUGAAGAAAAAUUAUUGGUUUUUUUUUUAGAAGGGAUUUCGGCCUAGAAAAAAAAUAAAUGAAAAUAUUGAAUCAAUAAUUGAUAAUUAAAUGAGUUAUGUGGUAAUGUUGAUGAUGAAUAAAUUAUAUUAGUGAUGAGUUAAUAUUGUUGUUUGAUAAUUAAAUGAAUUAUGCGGUAAUGUUGAUGAUGAAGAAAUUAUAUUAGUGAUGACAUGAUAUUAUUGAUUGAUAAUUAAAUGAGUUAUGUGGUAAUGUUGAUGAUGAAGAAAUUAUUUUAGUGAUGAGUUGAUAUUGUUUGAUUGUUAAUUAAAUGAGUUAUGUGGUAAUGUGUUGAUGAAGUAAUUAAAUUAGUAAUGAGUUGUUAUUGUUGGGUUGAUAAUUAAAGUGAUUUUGUUGAUGAAAUAAUUAAAUUGAUGACAAGUUGAUUUUGUUGAUAUAUAAUUAAAUUGGUGAUGUGGUGACAUUAUUGAUGUAAUAAUUUAAUUAAUAACAAAAUGAAUUUGUAGGAAUAGGCAAGGCUACAAGAACCACUCAGCAGACAUGUUUAACCAAUAGGACAUAAACACCAGACAUAUGUAUAACACCUUGAAUAUUUUUGUUUUUCUAAACUUUAGAUAUUGAAGUUAUCUCCACGAUCAAUGAAAUUUUAUGCAUCAUGCUAAUAGAUUUUCCCAUGAUAAUUUAUUUUGUGAAUGGACGACCGGUGGACUAGUUAUCCUGGUAUGAAACUGGUGCCUUGUGAAUAAACGGUUGGUGGUCCAGUUAUCAUGGACAAUUUUAAAUUUUAGAUUAUUGAUUUGUGACUAGUAUUUGAAAAAUUGAUAGUAAAUUUGAAAAUUGCUCUAUGAGUAACUACUACACACACACGCUCCAUCAAUUUACCCGGGGGAGCUAUGGUGUUAUUUGUAAAGAAGACAGAUGGAACUCUUCGGCUCUGUAUUGAUUACAGACAGUUGAAUAAGGUGAUAAUAAAAAAACAAAUAUCUGCUUUCACAUAUCAAUAAUUUAUUUGAUCAACUCAAGGGAGCCAGGUAUUUUCAAAGGUGGAUCUAAGAUUCGAGCACUACAAACUAAGGAUAAAAGAUCUAGAUAUAUCAAAAACUACUUUUAAAACUUGGUAAGAACAUUUUAAUUUCUUGAUAAUGCCAUUUCAAUUAACAAAUGCUUCUGACUUAAUGAAUUCUAUUUAAAUAGUUCAGUUGUGGUGUUUUGUCCAAUGAGUGAAGAUCACCUAUUCACUAGAAUGGUUGAGUAACUCGCAGAAAAUAGUUGUUGGGUUUGGUCACCGUGACUCGGGAUGCUUUGGAGUAAAGACUUGACAAUAAAGUCUUUGCCCUUUUGUUUCUAGUUGUGGGACGUGUGGGUUCUUGGUCACUAGCGUAUGUUUCUCCAGUCCUUUGCAGAUAUGUGGGUUGAUUUUCUUCUCAAGGAAACUGAUCAAGAAAGGGAAAAGAGGGAAUCUGGGCAAGAUACAGGUAGACCCCAUGAAGACUCGUAAGGAAGGAGUCCAAAUGCUACUGGGUUAGUUCGUCGGUGCCUAACCAUGGAACUAGCACAUCUGGACCAAAUCUCUCUCCAGCUCAAAAUCAUGGUCCUGUAGCCCCUCGAGAAAAUUUGCUGCCGUUUGCACAUAUUGAUUCCGAGUUCUCAAUAGUUCCUUUAACAUCCUUGGACAAACCUUCUCGGAUUUCAUGACUGCUCACAAAACAUUGAGAAUAUGUUGAAUUAUUAUGUAAUUAAUCAAAGAUAUAGAUUGUUCGUUGGUGUUCAAUCAAUUCUUUCAUAGUGAAAUGAAAAGCGUCUCUUUGCCCCAAAUAGAUAUCUCGUGGUCGUUCUCCAAUGUUAGCAUGCUGUCACAUAAUAAUAACAGUACAAUCUCUUCAUGUGUUUGUUUAAAUCACAAAAAAAAAAAAGUGUUUUUUAAAGGAGAAAACGUGAUUUAUUUCAUGAGAGACCCACCAUAUUAGGUGGUUAAAAUGCAGGUAAGUAGCGUGAUUUAUUUCACGCUUCUUCUCUCUGCCUUCAUUAUUCUGGCCAAACCAGUUCCGGUCUAAAUUUUAUUCUUUAUUGUUUCAGCUAGACUGAAUUCAGUAAAAAGAAAUUUAAUUUUUUUUAAAUUGAGUUUUACUUGAAAAAUUAGUGUUUAAUAUUAUUCAAUAACAAUAUAUAAGUUAGAAGGAGAUCGCAUGAUGACAUAGUAUUUGCAGAAUUUGAUCGCAAUCCCAAUUUGGUUCCUAAUGAUAUUUUACCUGACUUUACUGCACGCUCAAAAAAACCAUGGAAACUAUAGUACUUAUCGGAUGAAUUUCGUAUGUAAUGGAAUUGUAGAUAGGUUAAUUGAACAAUAAAAAAUAUUUGAUAGAAAAGUAUUAUUUAUUUAAUGAUGUAAUAAUAGUAGUUACAUCUAUAAUAUUUAAAUUAAAAAUCAUCAAUAUUAAUAUAUAUUUUUUUUAGUUAUUUUAUAAUCUCAAUUUGAAAAGUAUUUUUUACCAAACUCAUUAAAUUACUUUUUAUUCAAUCUUAAUUUCAACCACAAUUUAACUAAACAUAUAUAAAUAUCAAAUUAAUCUUAACAAAAAAUAUUUUUUAUAAAAUAAUUUUUCUUCAAACCACACCAAUAAAAGGUACCGCAAUACCAAGAAGAAUAAUGUAUACUGCAAUCCAAAUUAACUCAGCCAGUUGUAAUGUCCACAAAUCCCGAACCACUAGAUCCUAUCUAGCGUGCUUCUAAAACAUAUCCAAAUUUAAUAAUUUUUCUUCUUAAAGCAAGUUGGUCAAGGUAUGCUGUUUAGUUAUACUCAAUGUUUCAUUUUAUAAGUGCUUGUUUGUUCAAUAUCUGCAUUUAAAGUGAUGUUUGUUUCGCGGAAUGUUAUUUUUCUCAUUGGCAAUUACACUCGUGGAAAAGUGAUUCCUAAGAAUGUCCACAAUAUUUAAAGUAAAUUAACAUUUAUCCUUUAUUAUUGAUAUCAUAUAAAUUCUUAAUAACGUCUAAUUAAUUGUGCUAAUAAAUUAAAAUAAAUAAUGUGCACUAGUUAAAAGAGAUCUCUAUGAUUUUGUAAUAAAAAAAAAUAGAAAAAUCUGAUUCCAUUGAUAGAGUUUAAUGAUUAUUUAUUUUUCAAAAAUGAACUUAUUGAUAGUUUUUUCAAUAUUCAUUUACUAGAUUUGCAAGAUUUUGUUGAUGUAUUUUAAUUUGGAAACCUGCAAAGUUCUUUCGUUUUGAAAGGGAAAAGGUAUAAAUGAGUGAAGGAUGGUCCGGAGGAAAGUUAAGGAUUGACAUUAGCAAAUUUUAAUAUUCAUUUACUUAAUUAAUGAAACUACGUUACACAAUCUCUUACCUAUACCUUCUUCCGUUGAAUAGCAUAAAAGACCAAAUGCCACUGCCAAUGAAAGGGCUUUUGACUCAUCUUGGAAACGUAUUUCUUCCAUUCCUGGCAACAGAUCUCAGAAGCAGUUCGAGUGAAAUGAUUAAACUUUAUAAAUUUUUGGGUAGGGAUGGUAAUUUAUGAAUCGGCUUUGAAACUAAUUUUACUUGUUCUCGAACAAAAAAUUACUAUUUAUACCCGAUUUGAAAUCCAAUGAGAAUGGAUUUUUUUAUACCAAACCCUAUUAGGUUUCGAGUAUUUUGUUGGGUAAUGGGUGCACGACUUUGCAUAUAUUGAGAUAAUGUUUAAUUAUUGUUCUAAAACAAUAAAGAUAAGAUAUAAAAUAGACGAAGAUAAAUUAUGUUUGGUAAUAAUAUAUAAGAUAAAAUACUUGUUUUUGUAUCCUAUUUGGUGAGGAUCAAACUUAUAAGAAUAAAAGUUAUUAUUAUUAUAAUUUUAAAACCCGACUCAGGAGUAAACUGGGGCAGGGUUCAUGUCACAUGUUAGGAGGGAUAAUACAGGUUGACCCGAGUUAAUGUAUGAAUAAAAGAGGUUAUUAUUAUAAUUUUAAAACCGUGCUCGGGAGUCUACUUUAGACAAGGUUCAAUUCAUAGAUCGAGAGGGCCAACCCGAUUGACCCUUUUUUUUUUUUCUAAAUAAUCACAACAACCUUUUUUUGAACAAAAAAGUUUUUCAAAAAAGUCAAAGGAUCUUUGGCCCUUAUUGUAUCCUACGUUUCUUACCAGGUCAGGUUAAGUCAAUUCUUCUUCUAUUUGUUUUUUUAACUAGGAUUAGUUCAGGCCUUUGGUGAACCAAUCAAGUCAAUCCUGGUUUUAUAAUUAGAGUUAUUAUAAUAUUAUCGACUUCAACACUUCAUAUAAAAUAAAGUAAAAAAAUAUUAACUAAUUAUCUUUUAAAAUAUAUAAGUUUAACAACAAUACAUAUUAAAGAUAAAAUAGAUUUUUUAUAUUUUAUUUUGUCUUAUAACCAUAACCAUUUUCCCAGGUUGACCUCCAAAACAAGUUUUAAAACUAUAAUAAUAACUAUUUUUAUUUUAUAUUAACCUAGGUCAACAUAGGUUGACCCUUCUGAUAUGUGAUUCGGGUCUUACUCAGGGUUAAUCCUUCGAGUUGGGUUUUAUAACUAUGUUAAUAACCAUUUUUGUUCUUAUGUUGACCCGAGUCAACGGUCAAUCCCUCUUGUUAUUUGAGUCUUGCCUCGGGUUGAUUCCUGAAUCGGGUUUUGAAACUAUGAUAAUAAUUAUUUUUAUUCUUAUGCUAACUUGAAUCAACCCUACUCAUGAUUUGAGCUUUUUCUCGAAUCAAUCAUCGAGUUGAGUUUUAAAACUUUAAUAAUAAUCAUUUUUAUCUUUACACGUUUUAGUUGAACAAUUUGGGAUUGAAAGUUUUUUAUAAUUAUAUUUUAGGAAUAAAAAAUAAAAAUAUAGUCUCUAUAGACAUGUCUAUUGUGUACCUCUUAUUUUGGAAAUAUAGAAAUUCAUUCUAAAAUUAUUUUAGAAAUAGAUUUAUUUUCAUGUUUCCAUCUUUAUCUCUUUAACCAAUCAUAUUUUUAUUUUUACUGUUUUUAUCUCAAGUAUUUAUCUAAAGACAAUGACCAAACUCUAAAAAAAACAAAAAAAACAAAAAAUUAAAGAACAACAAAGUAAAAAAUGGGAGAUCCACUUUUGACUAAUUUAUACACCUACACAAAAAGGAAGUCUUCAUGGAAAACAGGGGCCAUCAACUAACCUAAUUGCAUUUAAAUAGUGUUUUUGAAAUUUCUACAAUUCUACUCUACCUUCUCUCUCCCCCUCUACACACACAAUGAGGUCCACCCAUCCACACAUGCACUAUUUAAUUAUAAAUUUAAUAUUUUAAACUAUUUUUUUUUAUAAAUAUAUCCAAUAAUUAGUAGUUAGAAAUACUUUAGAUCAUACAUAUUUAUUAUAAUAACUUCUAAAAAAUAAUUUUAAAAAAUCUGAUAUAUUUUACUUACAAAAAUAGUUAAAAAAUAUCUUAGAGAAAGCAAACUUUACUUUUUCAUGCAACAAAUAAUAAAUUUGUUCAAUUAAAAAUUAUCUUAAUAUUUUUAUUUAAAAGUAAUGUUAGUUUGGUUAUAUGACUAAUAUAUAUAUAUAUAUAUACAGUAAAAUAUAUAGUUGAAAUAUUAUAAAUCAUAAUUGAGCAUCAGUUUAAAUUUUUGAAUUUGAUUACUUAUAUUUAGUAGCAUUCAAUCUUAAAUUCUAAUAAUUAUAUUUUAACAUUAUAAAAUUAAAAUAUCUUCUAUUUUCUAAAUAAGUAUUGCAACACAAUAUUUGUAAAUUGCUUUUAUCGGGAGAGGUUAUGAAUUUAUUUAAAAUCUAUAUAUAUAACUCAAAUGACUACAUUUAUGCUUGCUUUAUACAAGCUAGGGUCCACUCUCCAGGAUGAAGAUAUUGUCGGUGGAUACAUUUCCAUUUCGAGCAUUAAUUUACUGUUGCCGUCCAUAUCGCUUGACCAUACAAGUUUUACUCUGGUCAACAGUUUUUUUUAUUUUAUUUUAAGGCGGCUGAGAGUAUAAUUAUAAUUAUUUUUUAAAAUAUUUUUUAUUUUUAAAAAAUUAUUUUUGAUAUCAGCGCAUUAAAAUAAUUUAAAAAUAUAUAUAAAAUAUUAAUAUGAAGUAAAGAAAAAAAAUACAAAUUAAAUUAAAUUUUUUCAAAAAUACUUUUGAAACGUAAAAACAAACAUGACUUGAACACUUUCUCUUGCCGCUUUGAGUCUUUUUUUUUUUUUUAAAAAGCUAUUUUAAAUAAUAAAAAAACUAUAUUUUCUUAAAUCUAAGAAUUCAAAUCCUUUCAAUUUAGACGAAGAAAAUAUUAAAUUUAGAUAUAUAAACUCUAUUAAAUAAAAAUUUUCAUUGAAUACUGAUCUUAGAUAGUGUUAUUGCCAAACUCUCUCCAAACUAAAUUCCAUGAAUGUUCAUCUCUCUUCUCCAUCAUUUAAAAUUUAUAGUUCAAAUUAAUUAACAUUUUAUUUAAAAGUAAGAACAUGACUUAGAAUUAUAGAAUAUCUAAUAUAUUUACGUAAUCUAUUAUACGUCAUUUACAGAGGGACAUGGCCAAACACUAGUUUCAAUCUUCAUCCCACUGUCUUGUAAACCAAGCAAUUGUUUAAAGCUUUGACUUGAGAGUUUAAUUUUUCCUACUUCCAGAACAGUUUGGUUUUUUCUUUCUUGGUAGAUAUUAUCCUUUAAUUUUUUUUUUUUUUUUUGCUCUUGAUCUUGAUCCAACGGCACUAGCAAACUGUGACACUUCUCCUAUAAAAGCAGUCCUAAGCCCUCACAAAUAAUCACAACACACCAGCUUUCUCAAUCCAUAUUUCUUCACUAUGAGUCGUUUUUCUUACUUAUCGUCGUUUCCCUGCUUCCUUCUUUUUGCCCAUUUCUUCACCUUCAGCAACGCAGCUACUUUUGAAAUCCGUAACCAAUGCGCUUACACUGUCUGGGCCGCGGCUGUUCCCGGUGGUGGCCGAAGACUCGACCGAGACCAGUCAUGGACCAUCACCGCCAAUGCCGGAACAACACAAGCCCGUAUUUGGGGACGGACCAAGUGCAAUUUCGAUGGGGCUGGGCGAGGGACGUGCGAGACAGGUGAUUGCAAUGGGCUCUUGCAAUGCCAAGCCUUCGGGAAACCCCCUAACACACUGGCUGAAUAUGCCUUGAACCAGUUCAACAACUUGGAUUUCUUCGACAUAUCUCUUGUUGAUGGAUUUAAUGUUCCUAUGGACUUCAGUCCAGUAUCAGGCAACUGCCGUGGAAUUAGGUGCGCAGCUGAUAUCAAUGGACAGUGCCCGAAUCAGCUCAGGGUCAGCGGAGGCUGCAACAAUCCUUGCACUGUCUUCAGGACAGAUCAAUACUGUUGCAAUUCUGGCAACUGUGGCCCAACAGAUUACUCGAGGUUUUUCAAGCAGAGGUGCCCUGACGCUUAUAGUUAUCCUAAAGAUGACCAAACAAGCACCUUCACCUGUCCCGGUGGAACUAAUUACAGGGUUGUAUUCUGCCCUUGAAGCAGUUUUAAGCCAGGAAUCUAAUGGUGUAAAAUGAGAAUAAGGACCAUUGCUCGAUUCACUUCUGACGGUGUGAAUUGCUGCCAAGGUCACAUGCUUUAUUAUAAUGAAAAUCUACUACAAUAUUAACAGUGGAAAGACCCUUUAUUUGCUCUAGCUGUUAAAUACCCAGAGAAAGUGUGUUUCAUGCUUUCGUGAGCAUAUCCAGCCCAGAAGCACUUUCUUCAUUUUUAACCAUGGGAAACUACAAAGUUCUCCUUGCCUGUUUCAGCAAAACUCUCUGGUUGGAGCAUAUAAAUUUCUUCUUCAAGUUCUCCAUAAAAAAAUGCAGUUUUCACAUCUAACUGCUCUAAGUGAAGAUCAAAUAUAGCACACAUCGCCAAGACUACUCUUGAUUGUAGUAAGUCGCACCACCAGAAAAAUCUCAUUGAAGUCUAUUCCUUCUUUCUGAGCAUAUCCUUUCACCACCAAUCUUGCACGAUACCGCUCCACUUGAUCAUUGCAUCACGCUUUAUCUUGUAAACCCAUUUGUUGCCAAUGGCCUUUCUUCCUUGUGGUAGCGGAACAAGAUCCCAAGUGUUAUUUUGUGCAGAGCUUCAAUCUCCUCUUGCAUUGCUGUCAUCCACAUAGAUACAUCUGUGCUUUUGAUAGCCUCAUGGAAAGUUGAUGGCUCUCCAUCCUCUUUAGAAGACAGUAUGCAAUGUUGCUCUCAGUAACAUAUUCUGAGUGCCAAGCCGGUGGUCUUCUUUCACGAGUUGACCGUCGAACUUCAGGAGUUUCAGACUCUAUUUGUUCUUGUUCUUCAUGCUCUGGUGCAGCUUCAGAAGAAGUAUGAUUCUGAGUAUUUUCCAUCUGGACUUUGUAGUCUCCUUUAAAAUGCUAUUAUUUCUUCCAUUUGCAUUUUAUCUUCUGCAAAUAUGACAUCUCUGCUGAUGACUACCUUGUGGGCAGUGGGAUCCCACAAGCGAUACCCCUUCACUCCAUCAGCAUAUCCCAAGAAUACACAUUUUCUGGAUUUUGAAUCCAGCUUGCUGACUUCUUGAGUAUUGUACAUCACGUACACAGGACUUCCAAAUAUAUGCAAUCGAGAAUAAUCAGCUGGCUUUCCAGUCCACAUCUCCAUCGUGUCUUCAACUCAAUCGCAGUUGACAGAUCGAUUUAUCACAUAACAGGCGGUAUUGACUGCUUCUGCCCAGAAUGACUUUCUAGACCUGCAGCCUUCAACAUUGCUCUUGUUUCUUUCCAAUAGAGUUUGUUCAUCCGCUCUGCCACUCCAUUUUGUUGUGGAGUGUAUGCCGUUGUGAACUGCCUUUUGAUACCUUCAUGUUGACAGAAGUUAUCAAAUUCAUCACUGGUAUAUUCUCCUCUAUUGUCAGUCCUCAAACACUUAAUCUUAGCAUCUAAAAAAUAGAUCGGCACACUUUAGGUAUCUAAUACAAGCUACAACGACUCUCCACAAUUGCUUAUAAAAAUAUUGGUGGUGGAUAUUAUUCCAUUUCGAGCAUUAAUUUCUUAUUGCUAUUAAAAUCAAUAGCGCUUGCUUGACCCUUAUAAGUUUUGCUCUGGUCGAUAUUUUUUUAACCUGUCUUUCGCUUGGUGGCUUGUUGCCGCUUCCCCUUUGUGUAUGUGAAGCAGGCUUCUGUUUUUUUAUUUUUUAAUAAAUUAAAUAAUAAAAAUCUAAAAAACAAUAUUUUCUUAAAUUUAAGAAUUCAAAUCGAAUUUAUGAUGAUAAAAUGGGUACAUUUAGGUAUUUAGAAGCUCCAUUAAAUAAGGAUUUUCAUUUAAUAAUGAUCUUAGAUAGUGCUAUUGCUAAAUUCCCUCCAAACUAAAUUCUUCACAUGUUCCUCUCUCUUCUCCACCUUUUAUUUUAUUUUAUUUUUAAUUAUUUCUUACUUUUCAAAAUCUAUAGUUCAAAUUAAUUAACAUUUUUAUGUAAAAGUAAGAAGAUGGCUUAGAAUUAUGAAAUAUCUAAAAAUGCAAUUUUGAAAGGAAAAAAAAAGGGUUAUUAGUUUCUCCUAUCCUCUCUCUCUCACCGACACAUUUUCUUUAUGGAUACAAAAUAGGCUCAAAAUAAUACUACAAACUGAAGGGACGAGGUCCCGGAUCGAUACAUACCAAGUUUAAUUAACAUUGAUGUAUAAUUAAGUGGAAUGUUGUUGAAAGAAAAUAAAAAUAGCAAAGAUAUUGAUGAAAGCUUGUUUAUUUUUGUGUUUUAAUUAAAAGUAUUUUAAAAAAAAAUUAGUUUUUAUUUAAUUUUUUUUGCUUUAAAUUAAUAUUUUUUAGGUGCUCUUAAAUUAUUUUGAUGAGUUUAUGUUAAAAUUAAUUUUUUAAAAAUAAAAAAAUAUAUUAUUUUAAUAUAUUUUUAAAUAAAAACAUUUAAAAAAAUAAUCAUUAUUAUACUUACAAAUGCUCUGUGCCAAAAUCCAAAAUCCAAAAUCCAAAACUCCAAUGACUGCCGUCAGUAUUCAGAUAUUGAUAAUGACAAUCAACUAUAGUUAAAGGGGAACCCACCCAUGUAGAAAAAAUUGUUUGCAGGCUCUUUGAAAGAGAGCCAUAAGUUCGUGCGUUGGUUCCUGAGUCUUCUCUGUGAACAUGCCCGCAGCCACCCUCGCGUCGCUGGGGACGAAAGAGUCUCUCUCUACGUCUUUACCCCACACAUUACUCACAUGAAGACGUUAAAAAUUUGGUAGAGACAAGACAGUAGUAAACAGGUGCAAAUACAUAUAUAUAUAUAUAUAUAUAUAUAUAACACUUCGAUAUACAAAAAUAGAAGCUCCGGUUAAAGGAGAAAUGUACAGAGGGGUUUUUGACCUGAAACCUGAAAGUUUCUAUUUCUGCUGUUGCCUUCCUCAUGAGCUCCCACAUGGAUUCCCAUUUCUUGAAAAAAUACAACUCAUUCCCAAGUUUCUAAGCAGCAUUUCAAGGUUAAACACAGAAAGAUUCUACCAACUACGUGCAAGUGUUGUUUCCCACAAUAUACUGCAGAAAGAUUCAAGGUGUUGUCUUUUAUCCCUGUUCCUUUGAAAGUAAUCUUUUUCUUUAAAGUUCUUUUUAUGAAAAAUAAAUUUGUGGAAAGUAAAGAAUUUUUUUGAUGUUUGGUAAUAUCAUGAAAAAUAAAUUAAAAAAUAUUUUUUAAUUUUUGACUAUGUCAUGAAAAAUAACCUCAAAAGUAACUUAUUAAUAUUUUAUUUUUUUCAAGUUUAUUAAGAGAAUAAAGACUAAAUCUAAUAGAUAAAAAAAUUAAAGGAUGGUGAAAUUAAAACAAAAAAAAUCUAAUUUUAUAAAUUAUUUUAAAUAAAAUAAAUAUCAAUAAAAAAAUAAGGAUCAAAUCUGAUAGAUAAAUAAUUUUAAUUAAAAAUGAUAAAAGAAAAGCAAAUAACAAUAAGAAAUAUAAGGACUAAAAUUGAUAUAAAAAUCAAAUUAAAUCAAGUUUUAAAGGAUGAAAUUGAAAAUAAAAAUAUUCAAAACAAAAUAUAUAACAAUAAAAAAAUUAAGAAUUCAAGAUAAGAAAUAUAAAUCCCUUUUAUUUAGAAAGAUCUUGGAUUGAUUAAGUUUUCUCUACAUGAAAGGUGCAUAAAUGUAAGGAGAUUUAAAUAGUAUUUGUAUGAAUUAUCAAAUAUAAUGAAAAUAGUAUAUUAUAUGGUAUUGUAAGAUGGAUUAAGAUUACUUAAUGGUCUAAAAGCAUGAGGUUAACAAAAAGGAAUAAAAGUGAGAAAUUAUGAGUUUAUGUAUUUGACAAGGUUUCUGUUGAACCUAAAAACUAUAUUGAAUAGCUGUAUUUUUUUACCCAAAUUUUAUAUGUAGGAAACACUUACUCUAUCUUAUUUCUAACACCAUAAAUAACAUAUUAAUCCAGUUUUUUUAUAGAAAAAGUUAUAGUAAAAAUAGUAAAGAAUAUGCAAACUUGGACUAAAAAAUUAACAUACCAGAUUAACUCGGGUUAUUCUGCCCAACUCAUGAAUAGUGACUUGGGCCAAGUUAUUUGGUGGAACAGGUUUAAUAAGAAACCAUGGAUAUAACCCUCAUUUAGCCUAAGGUUUUAGAUAUAAACUCUAAUUUUUUAAGAUGGAAUACAUCUAGGUGCUUGUGUAUAAUAACUAAAAGAAAAGUUAAAAGAGAUUAUAUAUUUACCAUGUAUACACUCACAUUUUACCAUGGAUUGACACAAUAACUAUUUUUCCCUUUUAAAACAAAACCACAUAAUUUAGCUUGAGGGGUGAUAUGAUUUUUUUCAUAAGAUCAAUUUGUUAUUACCAAAUUGACCAAAGACAUCUCAAUCAUCUCACUUUUUUAUUCCAUAAUAAAAUUAUCAAGUAGCCCUCAAGUAAAAUCCAUUUAAGUUACCUUCGAGGGAUUUUUUUUUUUUUUCUGAAAUUGAUUCUAAUUUGAAAAGUAAAAUUACUAAAUUACUAUUAAAAUCAAAUUGUCUUAGGCCUGUGUCUAGGGUUUUUUUUUUCCAUUUCAUCCCCCCCUUUUUUGGUAAUUAAUAACUAGACUCAAUGAAAAUUUAAUAUUUUAAAGAUGUUAAACAUUAUUUUUUAAAAAGCUUUUGGUGCAUAUUUGUGACACGUACUAGUAUGUUAGAGGCACUCAAUAUCUUUUAGGUGGCGCUUGUUAUGCCUCUUAACAAUUAAAAAUGGCCAACUAUCAUGUCACUUGAAGCAUCGAGUGGCGACACAUCCAAUAAGGUGGCGUGUGUGAGAUGGUUCGACAAUGAUUGAUUUUUUUCUGCCUAUAUUUUCUCUCUCCUCUCUUUAAGAUUCAUGCUGCCAACCAAAAUUAAAAGUUGUACUUUUAUUUUUUUAUUUCAAUUAUGGUCCUUACUCGGUCUAAUAAGGACCAUAAUUUUAUUUUCUAAUUACUCUUUAUUUGUUUUGAAUUUUUUUUCAUUCCUUAUCAUUUGGUCCUACUUGAAUUUUAUAUCAAAUUUGGUUCACAUUCUUUUGAUUAUUUUUUUUUCUUUUUAUAUCCUUUUCUUGAUUAAAUUUGUUUUUUAAUUGCAUCCCUCAUCAUUUUAUGUCAUUUUAUUUUUAUGUUAGAUUUAGUUCUUAUUCUUUUAAUUGCUUUUUUUUUUCUUGGGUUUCUUUUUUGAAAUUGGUUUUCUUUUGUUUAAUUCUAUCCUUUAACAUUAGAUUGGUUGAGAUUAUGCUUCAUGAUUUGUUUUUUAGUGCAAGUGAUCCCGGUCUCAUGUCCAAGGUCAUAUGUAUUAAAUUUUAACCCGAAUUGAUAUUGGUCUUUUUUUUUUAUCUUGUUUUUUACACUGAGCUUCUUUUUUAAUUACAUCCUUCAACAUUGAGUUUUUUUUAUUUGUUUUCUAUGAGGAUGGCCCGACCUCAUGACUUGAGUCACCAGUUAAUCAUGCUAACUCAGAUUGAUUUAUGACUCUCUUUUUUUCAAUUUAUUCCAUUAAUAUUGGUUAUCUUGGAAUUCAACUUCGUAGGUUUUUUUUCUUUUGACAAACAUUCUUUUUAUUUUUUUUAUUAACAUCAAAUUAAUAUGUUUUUAGUGUUUUCAAAUUAUUUUGAUAUGCUGAUGCCAAAAAUAAUUUUUAAAAAAUUAAAAAACAUCAUUGACAUGCAUUUUAACACGAAAAGUUAUUUGAAAAACAACUGCAACCACACUGCUAAACAAGCUCUUAAUCUCGUUGCUUUUUUUUUUCUUCAUAUAAUUAAAUUAAACUAUCUUAUUAGACCGAGUAAAACCUCCAACUCUAGUCACAAGAUUUUUCUUUUUUUAAAACACUCUAGCAGCGAUGAAACAUCAUUUUUUAAAUUACAAAAAUUUUCGAUCUAUUUUGUGAUAAAACACGAACCACUAGAUCCUAUCUAGUAUGCUUCUAAAACAUAUCCAAAUUUAAUAAUUUUUCUUCUUAAAGCAGGUUGGUCAAGGUAUGCUGUUUAGUUAUACUCAAUGUUUUAUUUUAUAAGUGCUUGUUUGUUCAAUAUCUGCUCUUUAAAGUGAUGUUUGUUUCGCGGAAUGUUAUUUAUUUCAUCGGCAAUUACACUCGUGGAAAAAUGAUUCCUAAGAAUGUCCACAAUAUUUAAAGUAAAUUACCAUUUAUCCUUUAUUAUUGAUAUCAUAUAAAUUCUUAAUAACGUCUAAUUAAUUGUGCUAAUAAAUUAAAAUAAAUAAUGUGCACUAGUUAAAAGAGAUCUCUAUGAUUUUGUCAUUAAAAAAAAAUCUAAUUCCAUUGAUAGAGUUUAAUGAUUAUUUAUUUUUCAAAAAUGAACUUAUUGAUAGUUUUUUUCAAUAAUCAUUUACUAGAUUUGCAAGAUUUUGUUGAUGUAUUUUAAUUUGGAAACCUGCAAAAUUCUUUCGCUUUGAAAGGGAAAAUGUAUAAAUGAGAAAAGGAUGAUUAAAUUUCCUUGGCACAAGAGCCCAAUCCUCACUCUAUAAAGUAAAGAGUGAAGGAUGGUCCGGAGGAAAGUUAAGGAUUGACAUUAGCAAUUUUAAUUCUACUCUACCUUCUCUCGCCCACUCUACACACACAAUGAGGUUUGGCCUCUUAUAUCUACAAGUUUUCUAACCACCCAUCCACGCAUGCACUAUUUAAUUAUAUAUAUAAUUUUUAAACUAUUUUUUAUAUAAAUAUAUCAAAUAAUUAAUAGUUAGAAAUACUCUAGAUCAUACAUAUUUAUUAUAAUAACUUCUAAGAAAUAAUUUUUAAAAAUAUAAUAUAUUUUACUUACAAAUAAAGUUAAAAUCUUUCUCUCUUUUUUUCAUGCAACAAAUAAUAAAAAAUUUCAAUUAAAAAUAUCUUAGUAUUUUUAUCUAAAAGUAAUGUUACUUUGAUUAUAUGAUAUAUAUAUAUAUAUAGUUAAAAUAUUAUAAAUCAUAAUUGAACAUUAGUUUAAAUUUUUGAAUUUGAUUACUUAUAUUUAGUAACAUGUAUAGUUAAAAUAUUAUAAAGAUAUUGCUGGUGGAUACAUUUCCAUUUCGAGCAUUAAUUUCCUAUUGCCGUCAAAAUGAAUAGCGCUUGACCAUACAAGUUUUGCUCUGGUCAACAGUUUUUUUUAUCCUUCCUUGCCGCCUCGGGUUUUGUUUUUUUUUAAAAAGCUAUUUUAAACAAUAAAAAAACUAUAUUAUCUUAAAUCUAAGAAUUCAAAUCCAAGUGCUUUUCAAUUUAUGAUGAAGAAAUUGAUAAAUUUGGAUAUUUAUAAACUCUAUUAAAUAAAUUUUUUAAUUCAAUACUGAUCUUAGAUGGUGUUAUUGCUAAACUCCCUCCAAACUAAAUUCUAUGUAUGUUCAUGUCUCUUCUCCACCUUUUGUUAUCUUUUAUUUUUAAUUAUUUUUCACUUUUCAAAAUAUAUAGUUCAAAAUCUAUUUUUAAUUCAAUGUCUUGUAGACCAAUGCAAAUGUUGAAAGCUUUGACUUGAGAGUUUGAUUUUUCCUACUUUCAGAACAGUUUGAUUUUUCUUUCUUGGUAGAUAUUAUCCUUUAAUUCUUUUUCUUACAUUGCUCUUGAUCCAACGGCACUAGCAAACUGUGACACUUCUAUAAAAGCAGUCCGAAGCCCUCACAAAUAAUCACAAACACCAGCAUUCUCAAUCCAUAUUUCUUCACUAUGAGUCAUUUUUCUUACUUAGCAUUGUUUCCCUGCUUCCUUCUUUUUGCCCAUUUCUUCACCUUCAGCAACGCAGCUACUUUUGAAAUCCGAAACCAAUGCCCUUACACUGUUUGGGCCGCGGCUGUUCCCGGUGGUGGCCGAAGACUCGACCGAGGCCAAUCAUGGACCAUCACCGUAAAUGCCGGAACAAAACAAGCCCGUAU
rnacentral:lncRNA from 1 species